AGCUUUGUGCAGUGGCAGUAUCGUAGCCAAUGAGGUUUAUCCAAGGCAUGAUUAUUGCUAGUUGAAAACUUUUCCCAAUACCCCGCCAUGACGACUUGAAAUAUAGUCGGCAUUGGCAAUUUUUGACAGUCUCUACAGAGA
ensembl:snRNA U4 U4 spliceosomal RNA